rnacentral:rRNA from 1 species
UACAGAGGUCUCAAGCGUUGUUCGGAUUCAUUGGGCGUAAAGGGUGCGUAGGUGGCAAGGUAAGUUUGAUGUGAAAUCUCCGAGCUUAACUCGGAAACUGCAUUGAAUACUCUCUUGCUUGAGGGUUGGAGGGGGGACUGGAAUUCUCGGUGUAGCAGUGAAAUGCGUAGAUAUCGAGAGGAACACCAGUGGCGAAGGCGAGUCCCUGGACAACUCCUGACACUGAGGCACGAAAGCUAGGGGAGCAAACAGG